GAUGAACGCUGGCGGCGUGCCUAAUACAUGCAAGUCGAGCGAACAGACGAGGAGCUUGCUCCUCUGACGUUAGCGGCGGACGGGUGAGUAACACGUGGAUAACCUACCUAUAAGACUGGGAUAACUUCGGGAAACCGGAGCUAAUACCGGAUAAUAUAUUGAACCGCAUGGUUCAAUAGUGAAAGACGGUUUUGCUGUCACUUAUAGAUGAAUCCGCGCCGCAUUAGCUAGUUGGUAAGGUAACGGCUUACCAAGGCAACGAUGCGUAGCCGACCUGAGAGGGUGAUCGGCCACACUGGAACUGAGACACGGUCCAGACUCCUACGGGAGGCAGCAGUAGGGAAUCUUCCGCAAUGGGCGAAAGCCUGACGGAGCGACGCCGCGUGAGUGAUGAAGGUCUUCGGAUCGUAAAACUCUGUUAUUAGGGAAGAACAAAUGUGUAAGUAACUAUGCACGUCUUGACGGUACCUAAUCAGAAAGCCACGGCUAACUACGUG
rnacentral:rRNA from 1 species